rnacentral:rRNA from 1 species
GCUCAACCGGGGAGGGUCAUUGGAAACUGGGGAACUUGAGUGCAGAAGAGGAGAGUGGAAUUCCACGUGUAGCGGUGAAAUGCGUAGAGAUGUGGAGGAACACCAGUGGCGAAGGCGACUCUCUGGUCUGUAACUGACGCUGAGGCGCGAAAGCGUGGGGAGCGAACAGGAUUAGAUACCCUGGUAGUCCACGCCGUAAACGAUGAGUGCUAAGUGUCAGAGGGUUUCCGCCCUUUAGUGCUGCAGCAAACGCAUUAAGCACUCCGCCUGGGGAGUACGGUCGCAAGACUGAAACUCAAAGGAAUUGACGGGGGCCCGCACAAGCGGUGGAGCAUGUGGUUUAAUUCGAAGCAACGCGAAGAACCUUACCAGGUCUUGACAUCCUCUGACAACCCUAGAGAUAGGGCUUCCCCUUCGGGGGCAGAGUGACAGGUGGUGCAUGGUUGUCGUCAGCUCGUGUCGUGAGAUGUUGGGUUAAGUCCCGCAACGAGCGCAACCCUUGAUCUUAGUUGCCAGCAUUCAGUUGGGCACUCUAAGGUGACUGCCGGUGUCAAACCGGAGGAAGGUGGGGAUGACGUCAAAUCAUCAUGCCCCUUAUGACCUGGGCUACACACGUGCUACAAUGGGCAGAACAAAG